CGAGGACAGUGUCAGGCGGGCAGUUUGACUGGGGCGGUCGCCUCCUAAAGAGUAACGGAGGCGCCCCAAGGUUCCCUCAGAAUGGUUGGAAAUCAUUCGAAGAGUGCAAAGGCAUAAGGGAGCUUGACUGCGAGACCUACAAGUCGAGCAGGGACGAAAGUCGGGCUUAGUGAUCCGGUGGUACCGCAUGGAAGGGCCAUCGCUCAACGGAUAAAAGCUACCCUGGGGAUAACAGGCUUAUCUCCCCCAAGAGUCCACAUCGACGGGGAGGUUUGGCACCUCGAUGUCGGCUCAUCGCAUCCUGGGGCUGAAGUAGGUCCCAAGGGUUGGGCUGUUCGCCCAUUAAAGCGGUACGCGAGCUGGGUUCAGAACGUCGUGAGACAGUUCGGUCCCUAUCUGUCGUGGGCGUAGGAAAUUUGAGAGGAGCUGUCCUUAGUACGAGAGGACCGGGAUGGACGUACCGCUGGUGCACCAGUUGUUCCGCCAGGAGCAUGGCUGGGUAGCUACGUACGGAAGGGAUAAGCGCUGAAAGCAUCUAAGCGUGAAGCCCCCCUCAAGAUGAGAUUUCCCAACUAGUAAGACCCCUUGAAGACGACGAGGUAGAUAGGUUGGAGGUGGAAGUGCAGCAAUGCAUGGAGCUGACCAAUACUAAUCGGUCGAGGGCUUAUCCAAA
rnacentral:rRNA from 1 species